rnacentral:sRNA from 1 species
UUACCCAUCGUGAUGUGGUUAUUGUGAUCAAUAAGUAAUUGAUUGCAAGGGGCAAUAUCUUGUUGCCCUUUUUAUUU